CAGCCGCCACGGUAAUACGUAGGUCCCGAGCGUUGUCCGGAUUUAUUGGGCGUAAAGCGAGCGCAGGCGGUUUGAUAAGUCUGAAGUUAAAGGCUGUGGCUCAACCAUAGUUCGCUUUGGAAACUGUCUAACUUGAGUGCAGAAGGGGAGAGUGGAAUUCCAUGUGUAGCGGUGAAAUGCGUAGAUAUAUGGAGGAACACCGGUGGCGAAAGCGGCUCUCUGGUCUGUAACUGACGCUGAGGCUCGAAAGCGUGGGGAGCGAACAGGAUUAGAUACCCCUGUAGUCCCUGUCUCUUAUACA
rnacentral:rRNA from 1 species